GAUGAACGCUGGCGGCGUGCUUAACACAUGCAAGUCGAACGGAAAGGCCUCUGCUUGCAGGGGUACUCGAGUGGCGAACGGGUGAGUAACACGUGGGUGAUCUGCCCUUCACUUCGGGAUAAGCCUGGGAAACUGGGUCUAAUACCGGAUAGGACAAUGGUUUGGAUGCUGUUGUGGAAAGUUUUUCGGUGUGGGAUGAGCUCGCGGCCUAUCAGCUUGUUGGUGGGGUAAUGGCGUACCAAGGCGUCGACGGGUAGCCGGCCUGAGAGGGUGUACGGCCACAUUGGGCCAGAGAUACGGCCCAGACUCCUACGGGGGGCAGCAGUGGGGAAUAUUGAGCAAUGGGCGCAAGACUGAUGCAGCGACGCCGCGUGGGGGAUGACGGCCUUCGGGUUGUAAACUCCUUUCGCUAGGGAAGAAGCGUUUUUGUGACGGUACCUGGAGAAGAAGCACCGGCUAACUACGUG
rnacentral:rRNA from 1 species